rnacentral:misc_RNA from 1 species
GGAGGAUAUUUUUGAGGUUAACCUACUUUUCUCCCUCGCAGGUCGUUUAUUAAUGUUUGUAUAAUUCUGUUAACUUCUAGAAUUUCCGCAUGUGUAAGAAAUGUUCAUUUGAUUUGGGUUGUAAUAUAAUUACCAUGUUGGACUUGUAAACUUAUUGUUUUAUAUAUGUUUGAUGGACUGGAUGAGGGAGCUGAGCUCCCAU